rnacentral:rRNA from 1 species
UUUAAUGUUUGAUGUUCUAACGUGGACCCGUGAUCCGGGUUGCGGACAGUGUCUGGUGGGUAGUUUGACUGGGGCGGUCUCCUCCUAAAGAGUAACGGAGGAGCACGAAGGUUGGCUAAUCCUGGUCGGACAUCAGGAGGUUAGUGCAAUGGCAUAAGCCAGCUUGACUGCGAGCGUGACGGCGCGAGCAGGUGCGAAAGCAGGUCAUAGUGAUCCGGUGGUUCUGAAUGGAAGGGCCAUCGCUCAACGGAUAAAAGGUACUCCGGGGAUAACAGGCUGAUACCGCCCAAGAGUUCAUAUCGACGGCGGUGUUUGGCACCUCGAUGUCGGCUCAUCACAUCCUGGGGCUGAAGUAGGUCCCAAGGGUAUGGCUGUUCGCCAUUUAAAGUGGUACGCGAGCUGGGUUUAGAACGUCGUGAGACAGUUCGGUCCCUAUCUGCCGUGGGCGCUGGAGAACUGAGGGGGGCUGCUCCUAGUACGAGAGGACCGGAGUGGACGCAUCACUGGUGUUCGGGUUGUCAUGCCAAUGGCACUGCCCGGUAGCUAAAUGCGGAAGAGAUAAGUGCUGAAAGCAUCUAAGCACGAAACUUGCCCCGAGAU